CAGUAGCAAUACUGAGUGGCAGACGGGUGAGUAACAUGUGGGAAUCUGCCUUGUGGUUCAGGACAACAUUGGGAAACCGAUGCUAAUACUGGAUAAGCCCUUACGGGGAAAGUUUUAAUGCCAUAAGAUGAGCCCGCAUUUGAUUAGUUAGUUGGUGAGGUAAUGGCUCACCAAGACAAUGAUCAAUAGCUGAUCUGAGAGGAUGAUCAGCCACACUGGGACUGAGACACGGCCCAGACUCCUACGGGAGGCAGCAGUGGGGAAUCUUGCACAAUGGAGGAAACUCUGAUGCAGCGAUGCCGCGUGAGUGAAGAAGGCCUUUGGGUUGUAAAGCUCUUUUGUAGGGGAAGAUAAUGACUGUACCCUAAGAAUAAGGUCCGGCUAACUUCGUGCCAGCAGCCGCGGUAAUACGAAGGGACCUAGCGUAGUUCGGAAUUACUGGGCGUAAAGCGCGCGUAGGCCGUUGAGUUAGUUAAUUGUGAAAUCCCAAAGCUUAACUUUGGAACUGCAAUUAAAACUGCUCGACUAGAGUUUGAUAGAGGAAAGCGGAAUACAUAGUGUAGAGGUGAAAUUCGUAGAUAUUAUGUAGAACACCAGUUGCGAAGGCGGCUUUCUGGAUCAACACUGACGCUGAGGCGCGAAAGUAUGGGUAGCAAAGAGGAUUAGAUACCCUCGUAGUCCAUACCAUAAACGAUGAUUGCUAGAUGUUGGAAAUUUAUUUUCAGUAUCGCAGCUAACGCAUUAAGCAAUCCGCCUGGGGAGUACGACCGCAAGGUUAAAACUCAAAUGAAUUGACGGGGG
rnacentral:rRNA from 1 species